CCCAUAGGUGUGGUGGGGUCGCAAAGGGAUAGCCAGGGGUCAGACUAGAGACUAGUUUGCUUUUCAUUACUACUGGCUUUUCUGAGGUAUUUUAGGAGGAGGUCUUGGCCAAUGAGAAUGUCCUGCCAUCCAUGCGAAGCUGAUGCGCUGUCCUAACUGUGAGAAAGGAGUCAUGGCCACAAUAUUUGCCUCUGAGUACUCGGGAGAGAAGGCAACUUGUCCCAUGAUAUCCAGGCCAUUUUGAGUCCCACGAGAAGCGGGUCAGAGCUGACUGGAUGCAUUUGUAGAGAUUGUCUGGUAGGCGGAAGCUGGACAUGGUAUAAGUUGGCAUAGCAGAGAGGACUGAUUUCAACAUGAUAGCUUUACCUGCACUUGAAAGAAGUUUUGAAGACCAGUUGAUGGACUUCUGUCAAAUGCGGUCCACUAUGACAAUGAACAAAUCUUUUUUACGUCUUCCAAAGGGUUCAGGGAGGCCCAGGUAUUUACCUUGGCCUCCUUCGUUGGCAAUUCCCAGGUAAGCUUUCACUCUUUUCGAAUCUUAUGAGGAGUUUUACUGGAGAAAGUUAUUGAGGACUUGGCUUUGUUAAUCAUCUGUCCAGACGCAAGCUCGUAUUGGUAAGAAUUUCAUUUAAAGCUUUGCAGCAUCUUUCAUUUUAUUUACUAAAAAAACAUUGUAUCGUCUGCGAAUAGCAGAUGAUUAAUGAGGAGGCUUCCUUUUGAUGUGCGUAUACCAGACAUUAAACCAAUGGUUUGAGCUUUCUUGCAGAGACCGGAUAAAACUUCUCUACAGAGGAUGAAAAUGAAGGGGGAGAGGGGGUCUUCUUGGCGAAUACCCCUUUGAGGUUGGACUAGGCCGUGACCUGCACCAUUUAUCAGGGAACCCCAACCUGAAACAGUUCCAGCUCGCCACAGCUAAGGAAUAGGACUCUGCGGAUCUUGAAAAUCCGCCGAGUGUUGAGAAGCUUGAGAUGACCGAGGAAGGUUUGAUGGAAUUUUACUCAAAGAUGGUCGGUUCUGACCCGUUUGGGUGUUAGCUGAAGGUGUCGAUCUCUGGGUAGAGACCACGUUGUUCUGUGGGAAGAGAGGAGCUCUUGUUUUCUCCAGCUGGGGUUUGGGAGAUUUGUGUGUGAGAAUGCUCAUCUUCUUCGAGUCGGGAGGAGCUAGCAGAGCCUGCCACAAGGAUUUGAGUCGCAGUUUUUUCCAUAAGGCUAUCCCUCUCACCUUGGAUGACUCUGCUCAUUCUGUCAGCUUUUUCAAUAGGAUCAUCACAGUUGACGUAUCAGAUGGUUACUUUCUGAAGAUCAUCCAUGACUUGCUCGAAA